rnacentral:rRNA from 1 species
GAUGAACGCUGGCGGCGUGCCUAAUACAUGCCAGUCGAGCGAACAGACGAGGAGCUUGCUCCUCUGACGUUAGCGGCGGACGGGUGAGUAACACGUGGAUAACCUACCUAUAAGACUGGGAUAACUUCGGGAAACCGGCGCUAAUACCGGAUAAUCUAUUGAACCGCAUGGUUCAAUAGUGAAAGACGGUUUUGCUGUCACUUAUAGAUGGAUCCGCGCCGCAUUAGCUAGUUGGUAAGGUAACGGCUUACCAAGGCAACGAUGCGUAGCCGACCUGAGAGGGGGAUAGGCGACACGGGAACUGAGACGCGGUCAAGACGCCUACGGGAGGCAGCAGUAGGGAAUGUUCCGCAAUGGGCGAAAGCCUGACGGAGCAACGCCGCGUGAGUGAUGAAGGUCUUCGGAUCGUAAAACUCUGUUAUUAGGGAAGAACAAAUGUGUAAGUAACUAUGCACGUCUUGACGGUACCUAAUCAGAAAGCCACGGCUAACUACGUG